CGUUAGCGGCGGACGGGUGAGUAACACGUGGGUGACCUACCUAUAAGACUGGGAUAACUCCGGGAAACCGGGGCUAAUACCGGAUAACACAUGAAACCGCAUGGUUUCAUGAUGAAAGACGGUUUUGCUGUCACUUAUAGAUGGACCCGCGGCGUAUUAGCUAGUUGGUAAGGUAACGGCUUACCAAGGCAACGAUACGUAGCCGACCUGAGAGGGUGAUCGGCCACACUGGAACUGAGACACGGUCCAGACUCCUACGGGAGGCAGCAGUC
rnacentral:rRNA from 1 species